GGGCAUGCAGCUCAUUGGUAGGGCUCCUGCUUUGCGUGCAGGAGUCCCUGGGUUUGAUUCCCGGCAUCCCCA
rnacentral:tRNA from 1 species